AGAGUUUGAUCCUGGCUCAGAACGAACGCUGGCGGCGUGGAUAAGACAUGCAAGUCGAACGAGAGAAUUGCUAGCUUGCUAAUAAUUCUCUAGUGGCGCACGGGUGAGUAACACGUGAGUAACCUGCCCCCGAGAGCGGGAUAGCCCUGGGAAACUGGGAUUAAUACCGCAUAGUAUCGAAAGAUUAAAGCAGCAAUGCGCUUGGGGAUGGGCUCGCGGCCUAUUAGUUAGUUGGUGAGGUAACGGCUCACCAAGGCGAUGACGGGUAGCCGGUCUGAGAGGAUGUCCGGCCACACUGGAACUGAGACACGGUCCAGACACCUACGGGUGGCAGCAGUCGAGAAUCAUUCACAAUGGGGGAAACCCUGAUGGUGCGACGCCGCGUGGGGGAAUGAAGGUCUUCGGAUUGUAAACCCCUGUCAUGUGGGAGCAAAUUAAAAAGAUAGUACCACAAGAGGAAGAGACGGCUAACUCUGUGCCAGCAGCCGCGGUAAUACAGAGGUCUCAAGCGUUGUUCGGAAUCACUGGGCGUAAAGCGUGCGUAGGCUGUUUCGUAAGUCGUGUGUGAAAGGCGCGGGCUCAACCCGCGGACGGCACAUGAUACUGCGAGACUAGAGUAAUGGAGGGGGAACCGGAAUUCUCGGUGUAGCAGUGAAAUGCGUAGAUAUCGAGAGGAACACUCGUGGCGAAGGCGGGUUCCUGGACAUUAACUGACGCUGAGGCACGAAGGCCAGGGGAGCGAAAGGGAUUAGAUACCCCUGUAGUCCUGGCAGUAAACGGUGCACGCUUGGUGUGCGGGGAAUAGACCCCCUGCGUGCCGGAGCUAACGCGUUAAGCGUGCCGCCUGGGGAGUACGGUCGCAAGAUUAAAACUCAAAGAAAUUGACGGGGAGCCGCACAAGCGGUGGAGUAUGUGGCUUAAUUCGAUGCAACGCGAAGAACCUUACCUGGGCUUGACAUGUAAUGAACAACAUGUGAAAGCAUGCGACUCUUCGGAGGCGUUACACAGGUGCUGCAUGGCCGUCGUCAGCUCGUGUCGUGAGAUGUUUGGUUAAGUCCAGCAACGAGCGCAACCCCUGUUGCCAGUUACCAGCACGUGAAGGUGGGGACUCUGGCGAGACUGCCCAGAUCAACUGGGAGGAAGGUGGGGACGACGUCAGGUCAGUAUGGCCCUUAUGCCCAGGGCUGCACACGUACUACAACGCCCAGUACAGAGGGGGCCGAAGCCGCGAGGCGGAGGAAAUCCUAAAAACUGGGCCCAGUUCGGACUGUAGGCUGCAACCCGCCUACACGAAGCCGGAAUCGCUAGUAAUGGCGCAUCAGCUACGGCGCCGUGAAUACGUUCCCGGGUCUUGCACUCACCGCCCGUCA
rnacentral:rRNA from 1 species